CAGAGGGUGCGAGCGUUAAUCGGAUUUACUGGGCGUAAAGUGUGCGUAGGCGGCUUUUUAAGUCGGAUGUGAAAUACCCCGACGCUUAACUUAGGGAAGUUGCAUUCGAUACUGGGAAGGCUAGAGUAUGGGAGAGGAUGGUAGAAUUCCAGGUGUAGCGGUGAAAAUGCGUAGAGAUCUGGAGGAAUACCGAUGGCGAAGGCAGCCAUCUGGCCUAAUACUGACGCUGAGGUACGAAAGCAUGGGAGGCAAACAGGAUU
rnacentral:rRNA from 1 species